AUGUCUCUACAAAAAAAAAUUGUGAAAAACAAAACAACAAAACAUGAUAUAAAAAAUAAAACAACUACAAGUGUAAAAAAUGUAACAAAUCAAAACAACACAAUCGGAAAAGGAACAAUCGCCAAAAGUUAUUUACAAAAAAAAACAAUUUCAAACAUAAAUACACAAGAUGUUAGUUCAAAUAAAAAUGCAAGAGAAAAAACAAAAGACAAAACAAAAGAUAAAAAAGAUAAAAAAGAAAAAAAAGAUAAAAAAGAAAAAAAAGAUAAAAAAGAUAAAAAAGAAAAAAAAGAUAAAAAAGAAAAAAAAGAUAAAAAAGAUAAAAAAGAUAAAAAAAGAAAAAAAGAUAAAAAAAAAAAAAAGGAUAAAAAAGAAAAAACAAUAGAAGAUGGCAAUGUAACAAAAAAACACAAAAGUCAACAAUGUCUUUUUAAACAUAAUGAUCUUAUAUUUUUUAGAAAAAAAAGUAAAUAUAAAAUUAUAAUUGGAUUAGGAAGAGUGGUAGACAUUAACACUGAACUUACUCUCAAUAAUAUAUCUGUAAAUCUUAAUCAAGAUAUUGAACUAAUAUAUUAUUUAAACAUUUUAAACAAUAUUAAUAACAAAAAAUAUUUGAAAAAUUAUUUAAAACAAUUGAAAAAUAAUUUUACUAACUCGAGUAAGCUUAUUACAAAAAUAAAUCCGUGUAUGAAUUAUGUCGAUUCAUAUGGUAAUAAUAAAAAUAAUAAACACAACAAUCGUAACUAUUAUAACAAAAACACAAAGUUUGCAUUUUUGAAUGGUUCUAAUCAAAAUAUAUAUGAGGAUAUAGACGAUGUAUAUAUUGAAUAUGAUAAUGUUGAUAUGAAUUUUAGAAGUAAAAAAAAUAGCACUUUGAAAAAUAAUAAUAACAAUAAUAGUAACAAUAAUAAUAGUAAUAAUGUUAUAUUAAAAAAAAACGAAAAAGUCAAAAACAUUAGCAGUUAUGAAAAUAAUGUAAUAAAAAUGUAUGAAGACAGAAAAAAAGUUUGUAACAUAAUUAAAAAUUACCAUAAAUCAUAUCUUGUAAUUCAAAUGUUGGAUACAUAUAAAUAUUUUUUACAUUACAAAAAACAAUUUAAAUAUUAUAAAAUAUGUGAGCAUCCUAAAUGGAAAUAUUUUAAAAAAGCAUUUUGUAAAAACAUAAAAUAUGAAAUUUAUUUUGUAUUAGCUUCAAAAUUAAUAGAUAUAAAAAAAAUAUACGUUAAUAAUAUAAGCCUACAAAAUACUCUUAUUAAUAAUUUAAUUAGAAUUUAUAAAAAUGAGAAUAAUAUAACUAUGAACGAAUAUUUUUUAAGUUUUAUAAAAAAAAUAGAUGUAAGAGUUAUAUUACAAGAAAAUGUUCUUACAAGUCCUGACAUGACAAAUCCCAACACUUUUAAUAAAAAAAAAAAAAAUGCUAUUGCUACGAGCGCUACUAAAGCUAAUACCAUGGAACCUUUUAAAACAACCAAUACUCAAUAUACUGCAACAUAUUAUGAAUCCAUUGACGCAAAUAAACAACAACCGACACGGGUUCAACCGAAAAGAAAUUCAAUUUCGAAACAAAUGUUCAAUGAAUAUACAAACUAUCACCCUACUAAUCAAACAUACGAACAAAAUCAAUACUAUAAUUCUUUAAGGAACAGACAAAACAAACUAUAUGAAUAUAAAAUAAUAAAUACAGAAAGGAAAUUAGUAGAUAUAGACCAACUACAACAAAGCGAAGAGGAGCAAAUUAAAGAUGACCAAAUUGAAGAGGUACACAAUGGAGAAAUAAAUGAACAAAAAAAUGAACAAAAAAAUGAACAAAAAAAUGAACAAAAAAACGAACAAAAAAACGAACAAAAAAAUGAACAAAAAAAUGAACAAAAAAAUGAACGAAAAAAUGAAGAAGAUGAAGAAGAAGAAGAAGAUGAAGAAGAAGAUGAAGAUGAAGAUGAAAAUGAAGAACAAUGCGAAACAGAAAUAGCCAUGUUAACAAAAUUUAAAUCCUAUGAAGGAAUGGUUUACAGAAAACAAAUAGAAAGUUUAUAUAAAUGUAGAACAACUGUUUUAUAUUUUUUUUUUAUUAUACCUGCUUUUUUUUGGUAUAAUGAUUCAUAUUAUUUUGCAUGUUUAAAUAUAGAUGUUGAUAUAAACGAUAUUUUAAACAUACUUAACGUAAUUGAUAAAUCGAACAAAGAUAUACUUCAAAAAAUAGCUUCAGAAAAUAUAACAAAAACAACAGAACAUAUAAAUACACAACUGGACACUAAUUACGAAAACAAUAAAAACAUAAUUAAUAAAGAAAAAUCGAUUUUGAUCAACGUUUCGAAUAAAAAUGAACAAGUAACUAUAAAAAAUUAUUUACAAAAAAAUUUUGAAAAAAAAAAUAUACAAGAAAUUAUAAACAUUAAUGAAUAUAUCGAAAUGGGUAUAGUUCAAAAUAAUGACAUGAAAAAAAGAAAAAAUAAUCAAAACCAAAACCCAAACCAAAACCAAAACCAAAACCAAAACCAAAACCAAAACCAAAACCNNNNNNNNNNCAAAACCAAAACCAAAACCAAAACCAAAACCAAAACCAAAACCAAAAUCAAAACCAAGAUAAUACAAAAAAACAGAAAUUAA
rnacentral:lncRNA from 1 species